UAUCUCUGUAGAGUCUGCAUAUCAAUAAGCGGAGGAAAAGAAACUAACAAGGAUUCCCCUAGUAACGGCGAGUGAAGCGGGAAGAGCUCAAAUUUGAAAUCUUCAAGGUUUGACCUUGACGAAUUGUAGUUUAAAGAAGUGUUUUCGGUUAGAGGAGUGGUAAAAGUUCUUUGGAAUAGGACAUCAUAGAGGGUGAGAAUCCCGUAUUUGACCAUUCUUUCUAGCUUUGUGAUACACUUUCAAAGAGUCGGAUUGUUUGGGAAUGCAGUCCAAAAUGGGUGGUAAAUUUCAUCUAAAGCUAAAUAUUGGCGAGAGACCGAUAGCGAACAAGUACCGUGAGGGAAAGAUGAAAAGAACUUUGAAAAGAGAGUUAAACAGUACGUGAAAUUGUCAAAAGGGAAGCGUUUGACACCAGUGUUGUUUUUCCGAAAAUCAAUUAAAAAUGGAUUCAUGCUAAGUUGUAUUGACCUUAUCAGCUUGCAAUUUAGUUUUGGGUUUCUUUUUGAUGCACUUUUCGGUUAACAAGUCAACAUCAAUUUCCUUUGCUGUAAAAAGGCAGGAGGAAGGUGGCUUCAAUUUCGGUUGAAGUGUUUAUAGCCUUCUGUCUCUGCAGUCGGGGAGAUUGAGGUCUGCAGCGUAGAUCCUUCGGGGCUAGAUACAUUCGUGCUAAGUUAGUAGCCUUUUAUAGACAACUUGUUGACUAUGAUUGGUCUUGUAAUUUACUCGCGAGUGCUAUUUUACCUACGCUUAGGAUGUUGAUCUACAGAGCGAGAGU
rnacentral:rRNA from 1 species